CCAGGGCCUGGCGGCCAUCCCGGUCUCCAUCUUCUACAGCAUGCCACAUCGGAAGCACUUUGACCACUACGUCCGCUUCUGUUUUGUGAAGGAUGAGUCCACGCUCCAGGCCAUGGACGAGAAGCUGCAGAGAUGGAAGGAUGAGCUCAGGCCCUGACGUCACCCGCUCGGCCUGGACCCACCCGGCUCCUGCGUUCUCUUUGUCCCGGUGUCAGCCCUUCCCAGGUUGGCAGUACAUGGAGCUGGGGGCCCCCUUCUCUGUGACACAGGAUGUCCCCGGGGAAGAGCCCUCCUUCGUGGUCUUGGUGGAUUCAGGAGCGUUUCCCACAGCACCUGUAUUCGUGUCGCGGUGGUGCGGUGGGCCUGACUCGGGCCUCUCCGUGCUCCUUGCUAGGUUGGGUCAUAGAGUCUUGGGUCCCCUCCGUAUUCUCCCCAGAUUUAUCUCUUGACUCAAGGGACAGAGUCCAGCAGUGUACUGGCCUUGAGUCCCAGCCCUGCCCUGGCCCCAGCCCAGGCUGCGGGAUCCCUCCCUUUCCUUAUCUGCUUAGAUAACCUUGGGAAGUGGUCUUUCGGCUUGAGUCCUCAAGCCAGUACUUGGCACCCAUAAUAAAGUCUUAAGUUAUUUAGAUCCUUA